AUACUUACAUGGCAGGGGAGAGAUCAUGAUUAAGAAGGUGUUUCUCCCAGGACAAGGCUAUCUUAUUGCACUGUGGCGUGCUGAUGCCUGCAAUGUCCCUAAAUGCCGGACACUCAGUUGCAGAAUUACAGUAGUUGGGGCUGUGUUUGCGCGCUCCCCUG